rnacentral:rRNA from 1 species
UGAGGGAACUAUGUUGAAGGAACUCGGCAAAAUGCCUCCGUAACUUCGGGAUAAGGAGGACCUCUCAUCGGGCAACCGGUGGGGGGUGGCACAGAGUAGGGGGUGGCGACUGUUUACUAAAAACACAGGGCUCUGCGAAGCCAUCCAGGCGACGUAUAGGGUCUGACGCCUGCCCGGUGCCGGAAGGUUAAGAGGAGAGGUGAGAGCUUUGAAUUGAAGCCCCGGUAAACGGCGGCCGUAAC